GGCCUGUUAGAAUUUCUAAAUAGAGCAAGACCAGUUUGCUGAGCACCCCACCCCCACCCCAUCUCUAAAAGAAGCUCCAAAUUAUCAUUGGGGAGGGGAGAUAAGAGGUGAGUGGCAUCAGGGCUAGAGGCAGACUGAGGGAUUUAUCUUGAAGCUACAUUUGCAAACACAGUGGUUUUGCUUGCAGAAUAUUCUUCUUAAUCUGACAGACCAUACCCAGGCCCGUGCCUAAUGAUGUGGACACAGUGCAGAGGGGUGAUUCCCUGGACACCCCCGCCCGAAGCAUUCCUCCAGAGAUUUACCUGAUGUUUACCCCUGCAAGACAACACUGCCUAACACUCCUUUCCUCUGGGAGCAUUCUUCAUUCCAGAAAGAAUGUCACCAGACAGUGACCUCAAGGGCCACCAGAACCUGUCCUGGAAUCAUGUGAUGCCGCCAGCUGUCAUGAUCUCAGUGCUCCCAGGAGGAGGAGGAGGAGAAGAAUGCAAGACCACAUCAGCCCUGAUCCUUAUCUUCAGCCCCGUUUUCCAACCUAGAACUAUAAGACCUCUUCCAACUUCCCAGUAAUGGGGGCACAGUCUUGAAAGUGCUAGCUUGUUAUGGUCCCCCUUUGCCUGGCAGACUAAUGAAGAUACUCCCUCCUACAC
ensembl:lncRNA